UACCUGGUUGAUCCUGCCAGUAGUCAUAUGCUUGUCUCAAAGAUUAAGCCAUGCAAGUCUAAGUACGAGCUCUCGUACAGUGAAACUGCGAAUGGCUCAUUAAAUCAGUUAUGGUUCAUUUGAUCGUACAGUUUACUUGGAUAACUGUGGUAAUUCUAGAGCUAAUACAUGCGAGAAGCGCCGACCUCGCGGGAGGCGUGCAUUUAUCAGACCAAAAACCGGCCGCGUCUUCGGGCGCGUUCGCCUUGGUGGCGCUGGAUGAUAACUUUGCGGAUCG
rnacentral:ncRNA from 1 species